CUACACUGCAGUCGAGCGGAUGAAUGGAGAUUGCUCCUGGAUUCGGUGACGGACGGACGGGUGAUGCCUACGAAUCUGCCUGGCCUCGGGGGAUAACGUCCGGAAACGAAAGCUAAUAUCGUAUACGUUCUGAGGGAGAAAGUGGGGGAUCUUCGGACCUCACGCUAUCGCUGACCCUAUGUCGGAUUACCUAUUUGGCGGGGUAAAGGCCUACCAAGGCGACCAUCCGUAACUGGACUGAAAGGAUGAUCAAUAGCGCUGGAACUGACACUCGGACCGAAAUCCUACGCGAAGUCCCACUGGGGAAUAUUGGACAAUGUCUUAAACCCUGAUCCAAACAUGCCGCGAGUGUGACCACGGGCUUCAGAUUGGAUUUCACUUUAAGUUGGUAUGAAGGGCAAUAAGAUAAUACCUUGCUGUUUUGACUUUACCAACAGAAUAAGCACCGGCUAACUUCGAGCCAUCACUCGCGGUCAUACGACGGGUGCAUACGUUAAUCGGAAUUACUGUGCGUAUAUAUUGCGUGUGUGGUUCGCGCAGUUGGAUGUUAAAUCCCCGGGCUCAACCUGGGAACUGCCUCCUGUACUACUGUGCUAGAGUACGGAAUAGAGUGGUGGAAUUUACAGUGUAGCGCUUAAAUG
rnacentral:rRNA from 1 species